rnacentral:rRNA from 1 species
CGCGUAGGCGGUUUGUUUAGUUAGGCGUGAAAUUCCUGGGCUUAACCUGGGGACUGCGCUUAAUACAGGCAGACUUGGGUUCGGAAGAGGGUCGUGGAAUUCCCAGUGUAGAGGUGAAAUUCGUAGAUAUUGGGAAGAACACCGGUGGCGAAGGCGGCGACCUGGUCCGAUACUGACGCUGAGGCGCGAAAGCGUGGGGAGCAAACA